AGUAGGUUAGGUUAAUUAGAUCGUCUGUUUUCAAAAUAGGAGGUACUGAAGUACUUACUG
rnacentral:tRNA from 1 species